rnacentral:rRNA from 1 species
UCAGGACGAACGCUGGCGGCGUGCCUAAUACAUGCAAGUCGAACGGUCUUUCUAUGGAAGCUUGCUUCCACUGAGAAGAUAGUGGCGAACGGGUGAGUAACACGUGGGUAACCUGCCCAUAAGAGGGGGGAUAACAUCUGGAAACGGGUGCUAAUACCGCAUAGUUUUCUUGAUCGCAUGAUCGGGAAAGGAAAGACGGCCUUUGUGCUGUCGCUUAUGGAUGGACCCGCGGCGUAUUAGUUAGUUGGUGAGGUAACGGCUCACCAAGACGAUGAUACGUAGCCGACCUGAGAGGGUGAUCGGCCACAUUGGGACUGAGACACGGCCCAAACUCCUACGGGAGGCAGCAGUAGGGAAUCUUCCGCAAUGGACGAAAGUCUGACGGAGCAACGCCGCGUGAGUGAAAGAAGGUUUUCGGAUCGUAAAACUCUGUUGUCAGAGAAGAACAAGUUGGAGAGUAACUGCUCCAGCCUUGACGGUAUCUGACCAGAAAGCCACGGCUAACUACGUGCCAGCCGCCGC